rnacentral:misc_RNA from 1 species
GGUCGGUCGGCUGCCAAGAACGCUGAUCGAAACUCUAUCAAUCUGAGCAAGUAAGGGGGAGUAUUUUGAGAACUCAUUGGCGUUUUAAUACGUUAGAGCGUCGUGAUAUAAAAAAUCGAAAACAAACAGUCGGUGGAUUAAUCAAGAGGACAAACUAUUUUCUUAUUGACACAAGACGUCCUAAUCGUCGUUUCAGUUCAGGCAAUGCGGUUUCGUUCAAGUUCUGACGGUUUUGGUGAUUGUGGAAACUUAUGAAGAAGUUAUUGAUCGCUUGCACGGAAGGUUUUUCACUUUUUUCACGUGCAAGGUAGUUUCUUGGAAGACAGAUUGAAGAAACCGGUGUGCGGGAACGAUUUUUCUCUGCGGUCUGAAGGAUAAGUCUAAAGUUACAAGUUCUGCCAGUGUGGGGUAUCGGCGAAUGUGAUUCGGGGUUUGUUCUCCGGAGAUUUUCUUGAGUGGGAAUUCUUGUUAUGCAACGUCGUUGUUUGUGGCAACAGCUGAUACGUUAGGUUGUUGUGUGGACAACACUACCUCUUUCACAAUGGAUAACCGAGCGCGGGAUUUUGCCAGGCUCAAUUUCUCAAGAUCGAUCCCUCGCUUCAGCAGGUGCUCGCCGACAGAGGUCGCUACAACCCUGAUGUUGAUGUCCGAGCUUGACGAAAAAGAUGCGAUUAGACUCCUAAAAUCGUCUGCUGGGAUCUACUCUGAUCACUUUUUCUCAAUGGAGGAGUCUAUCGAGGAUGCUGUCCGGGACGUGAAUCCCGACCGAGUGCUGUCCCUCAUUUCGCCGACCAGCUAUGACAUCAACUCCAACCUGCAGCUGGCCUUGCCGCCGGAUUUAUUCUUCACAGCAGUGGAUGGCGUCACUGCCAAGCCGAAGGAAUACCGCUGUGCCGCUCAGAUGGUGUACCUUCUCCGCAACAUCGGAGCAAAGAUCAAUGUGCAGGAUGGGAACGGAGACACGCCGUUGUUGAAGUACCUGAAGACUGGCAGCGUGCAGCCCGAUGUCGUGGAGGCCUUCCUCCGAUGUAAUGCUGAUGUCUACCUGUCCAACAAGGUAGGCGAGUACCCCCUGGAAGUGGUGACAGUGUGUCCUGACAUCCCCAAGUCGGUCAAAGACGUCUUCAUGAAAUAUGUGCCUGGAAUCUGGGAGGCUGUGGAGGGGGAUGACGCCAUGAAUGUCCGGAAGCUCAUCAACCAGUGGUGUCGUGUGGACAUUGAAAAGAAUGGGAAGAGUUUGCUGCAGCUGUCUCUGGACAUCGGGACUGAGAGCAUCAUCCGAGUCAUCAGCGGGAUCCGGCCCUCCAUGGAGUUUGCCCACGGGGUGCUGGCUGGGGACACUCUGACUGUGAAGAAACUGCUGUCCACCAGGAAAAAACACAUCAACCUUAACUUCAGAAACAUGGGUGACCGCGGUGCCACGCCCCUCCUCUAUGCACUGGUCCAGGGCCACAGCGACAUGGUGCAGGUCCUGCAGGACCACGGAGCUCGGGUCGACCUCGGCAUGCGAGGCGAUGAGGAGACGGACAUUCCACUGUACUUUGCUGCCUUGGGUUGUGACCCUCCGAUCUGCCCCAGCCUGUUGAUACAGAUCCUGCCCCUAGGACCCAUCAGUAUAGACAAUCUCUUCUAUAAGGGCAAGAACGUGUUGUUCCACUGCAUCGACAUGGAUGUGCGGCCGGAGGUCGUGGAGGGCAUCCUCAUGAAGGGCUCAGCGUAUCUCGUCACACAGAGGAUCAAGGACAACAUCACACCAAGACAAUAUGCCUACCAGAUGUCGUGUGACCCCAUCGCAGAGGUCAUGGAUAAGAUUGUUCUUCGGUGGAUAUUUCAUGAAAACGGUCCCAAUAGGAAGAUCCUGGCUCUCCAUGGCUACGAAUACCUGCCCAUGGCUGUGAAGGAUCUGUCCCAUGCAGACUCUGAAGAAUCCCCCGGUGACGCCUUCUUUAGAAUACUUCCGAUAUACCAGCACCGGAUUGUACAGUUCCACGAGUCAGUCGAGGACUGCGACGUGGAUGCUGUCCGCAUGCUGCUAUACUUCUCAUCACCGGACUACAACCCAGAGUUUGAGUGCUGCCUAGCGGACUCACGCACACAUGGUGAGGGACAACCUCCACUCCACAAGGCUGUACUUCGAGGCUGCUACGAAAUUGUGGAAUUACUGGCGGAGACUCUGGUAUACGAGAAGAAGACCAGGCUGGACUCCAUCAGGGAUCAGUCUUUCAGAACAGCUCUACACUAUGCAUAUGCCAUGGAGAAUGGCAAGGAACUGGUGGACUUGCUGCUGGACUACGGAGCGUCUGAGUUCACCAUGGACAAGGAAGGACGGUCCCCCUUGGCUUUCAAAGAUCGCCGAGGCCAGCAUCUCAUGGAAGCUUUACUGGGCUACCAGUUACUGCAGGAUUUUACUACUCCAGAACCAGACCCUUUUGCAGUCUCCAUGCCAAUCCCCAUCAUCGGGUACCUCCUCAACUGCACGCACACCCAUCACCGCCCCAGCCAGCUCACCCACAAGCUCGCUGCACUUCCAAGUUCCACCACUCCGCGCCGACGCUCACUUCCUGAUGCAAAGAUCAACAAGGUGAUCAGCAAGUCUGCCACCAUAGCGUCUCACAUCGCCAGUCUGCCCGACACAGUGAAGGCCAAGCUGGCCACGAGGGCUUACAAUAAGUGCUCCGCGCUCCCCAGGGAGUACAACCCCUUACCGACGGAUGACUUCGACAGGUACGACUUUGAAGAGGAGGGAUUCGAGACAGGGGGUGAAAAUGAUGACUUGCUUCAUGAACGAGAAAUCAAGAAGUCCUCUUCCUGUGUUGUGCAGUGAUAACAUGGUGUAGGGUUACUUGGCCAGAGCAAUUCCUUUAUUUGUUUUACAGAGUUUCUUGGUCAAUAUGAUCACGUGGUAAAAGGCAAAAUUAUGAUAUAUGUGAAAUGUUUCAUUGAUUUGAAGUUAAAAAGUUUAAGCAAAACCAACUUUAAAUUGAGUUUUUAUGGAAUAAGAAAAUGUGUUUAAGAAAAUGCAUUUUUUAUAUCAAAUGCAUCAUUUACGUAAAAUACUUGUUUUGUAAAUGUUAGGCUUGUAUCAAAGAAAUAACUUUUUUUUAAUAUUUUGUAUUAGGGGUGAAACGAUACAGAAGGUUAUGAUACGAUAUAUAUCACGAUACACAUAUUUAUGUCAUAGCGCAUGGAAACUUCUUGACAAUAAAUAUUUCAGAGCAGGUUCAAAAGGAAAAGCACAUGUUCGUAAUGGCUUUUUUUUAGUAGUGAACUUAAAACGCUAAUUACAACAUUUUCCUAUAUCUGACUGAUAAAAACGCCAGGGGUCAUUAAACGAGUAGUAAGUAAUUUAUUUCAGCAAGUGUAUGUCUUGUAUCGAUACAGAGAAAAAAGGUAUCGUGUAUCGUAUCAAUGCACCAGUGCACCGAUGUAUCGUUUCACCCAUAUUUGGUAUCCUUGGUGAAAGUACUGAUAUGCAUGAUGAGUCACUGUCAGGACUGCGCGGGAAUGUAUACACUAUGUUCUUCUGUCACCCACGCACACAUACAUCAAAGGUGACGUCGUAGUCAUGUGUCUAUUUUGCAUAACUCCUUCAAUGAGUCAGUUUAUGAUUCACUGUAAAAUGGAUGGGAGUGUGUUCUGCAAUGUGAUUGGUUGAAAAACAUUGUAAAAUGGGGUUAAAAAUAAACUUUUCGACAAUUGCAUGCUCUAUAACACCCCCCAAUCAUAAAACACAUACUGUUUAUACCCUAUUUGAAGGUUACUCUGUGCAUGAAUUUUGUCUGAACCCUACCGUUAAAGCAAUGUUAAGGGCACACAGACACAAGGUUAUUGUUCAGAGCACACAGACACAAGGUUAUUGUUCAGAGCACACAGACACAAGGUUAUUGUUCAGAGCACACAGAUACAAGGUUAUUGUUCAGAGCACACAGACAAAAGGUUAUUGUUCAGAGCACACAGACACAAGGUUAUUGUUCAGAGCACACAGAAAAAAGGUUAUUGUUCAGAGCACACAGACGCAAGGUUAUUGCACAUGUUGCGCACGGAUGUAUAUUUAUCACAUGCGUGUGUUUCCAUGGAUGAUGGUUGGUUGGUUGGUUUGUUGUUUAACGCCGCGCUCAGCAAUAUUCCAGCUAUAUGACAGCGGUCUGUAAAUAAUCGAGUCUGGACCAGACAAUCCAGUGAUUAGUAUCAUGAGCAUCA